rnacentral:lncRNA from 1 species
AGCCAAUCAGGGAGGGCGGCGGAGGGAAGCUGGGCAAGGAUGGGAGCCCCUUUUUCCUCCUUCACCCAAAUCCGCUCCAGCUGGUCGGGCUGGGCCCUUGCCCGGGAGGCCUGGAUGGUGGGCUGGGGGAAAGCAUCGUCCAAGCGGGGGAGGCAAUAGCGAAUUGUUCUACCUUCCGAAAAUCGCUCCACGUCGGCGGGUCCCCUCCCCCAUCCCUUGCAAACUCUGCUUGGGGCGCGGGCGAUGAAACCUGGGGGAGGGAGACUUCGGACUUGGGAAAAGCCACGUCUCCGUUCUCUACAAUUCUCCCCCACCCCCUCCUCCGAUGCCUCAUGUCUGGAGGGGGGGGCACGAGGAACGCUCCGCCAGGGUCGGCCUCAUGCGUCCCUCGGAUGCCUAGGCUUCCGCCUCCCGCAGGCCAUCCCUUUUGUGAAUGACAGCAUCAGCGGAUUUUAAAAAAGAGGAUUGGGGAGAAGAAAAGAGACGGAAGAAGAGGAGAGGAGAAAAAAGGAAAUUGAAGCAGAGAAGUGGAAGGAAACGCACAUGGCAAAUUCCAGCGUUACUAGGGAAAUGCUGACUGGAGGCCCUCCAGUGACGUUACAGGGUAAUCUAAUUUUGCAUUCUUCGAAUUCAGUGUAUUGUGAUCUUCAGCUUCUCACUUCCAAGAAUUCAGUCCCAGAAAUGAUGAUCGAUUAGGACAUUUAUUGUGUUUUCCUAACACUUGAGUUAUCUCAAUGUUAAAUGGAGGCAAUCUGGACAAAGCAGAAGCUCACAGUCCCAACUACUUGUAAGGGAAUGAAGACAACUUCAUUCACCAGAAUUUCUCCUAAGUGGAGCCCCAUAUGUGUUUCAAAGAAAUGAAUAAUACGUGGAAGGGAUGGUGAGUGGCAAGAAAAUACUCAAGUGGAGAAAGAUGGCACCUAAAUUGCCUUCUCAAGGACACCACAGCUCCAGGAGAAUGUUUGGCUUUGACUGAGCACCUUGAAUGGUUGAGAGUUGAAAAACUGGGAGUCAGAGCCAAGGCAGAUCUAAGUUGUACUGGGCUGCUGUAUCAUACAACUUCAGGUGCUUCCACUGGCAUCUGAGCUAGGAGCUGACUGUGGAGAAGAGGAGUGUCUAAGGGAGAUUUUGUUUUUCACAUAAAUGCAAUAUCAGUUCUCCUCUUUAUUCUCCUCCCAAACACCAUCAGUAAGUGUCAUCAUGUUUGAUAAUGCUUUUAUGACAAUGGAUUGUUUUGGGGGGUGGGAUGUUAUAGAGGGGCUGAGUUAUAAAUCUGAGUGGUCAUUGGUGAAACCGAAUAUUUCUCUGCAGCUUGUAAACUAAAAGAGGAGAGGACAUUUAGGUUACACAUGAUUAUGGGAUAAUGAUAUCUAGCUUUGAGGUUGUUAAUAGGAUUAAACAAAAAGAUAACAAUAUAAAUACUCAACAUGUGUUUACUAUCUUCCUAUGGGAAAGCCAACUUUUAUCAACUACUCAUAAGACACUAAACAUGUUGAUGAAGUUAGUAACAAGGAGAAGUCUAAGAAGUGUGUGUGUGUGUGUGUGUGUGUGUGUAUGCUGGGAAUUGCAUGAAAAGACCUGCUGCAAUGUUAGAUUUUGGGGAGCUUCACAAAUGAAGAAGGAUAGCACAGGGAUGGUCCCACGUGGUCCAUGGCGUCAGACUCAUAGCCUGCGUGCCGUCCCUGCAACAGGAUUAGCAUUGUCCAAGGAGAGAGAGGUCCACAUGGGUGUGUCUGGACCCCCCCCACCACCACCCCCCGCAUACCUUGUGCACAUUGGGAAUCUGUCUCUCUCAUCUCUUGCUCCUCUCUCUUUUGGUAGCCAUAAUUUUCUUCAAAUAUGUUAACAUAAGCAAUUUUGCUACGUCCAAAUCUUUCUGUUGCCCAGGAGUCACUUAUUUCUCUGUGAUGAUCAUAUUUAUCAUUUAUUUUAUGUUCAGGUUUUUAAUCUCAGAGCUUGUCCUUAUUGUUGUCGCUAUUGUUGUUGAGACAAGAGACUGGCAACUUAUCAAAACCCCAACUGUAGGCAGCAUUCCCAAUGCAAAGUGUUAAGUUUCUUAGGAAAGGAAUUUUGCUUUUUUCAUUGUCUGCAUCCCCAG